rnacentral:rRNA from 1 species
CCCAGACUCCUACGGGAGGCAGCAGUGGGGAAUUUUGGACAAUGGGCGCAAGCCUGAUCCAGCCAUGCCGCGUGAGUGAAGAAGGCCUUCGGGUUGUAAAGCUCUUUCGGCCGGAACGAAAUCGCGUACGUGAAUAACGUGCGUGGAUGACGGUACUGGAAGAAGAAGCACCGGCUAACUACGUGCCAGCAGCCGCGGUAAUACGUAGGGUGCGAGCGUUAAUCGGAAUUACUGGGCGUAAAGCGUGCGCAGGCGGUUCCGCAAGUCAGAUGUGAAAUCCCCGGGCUUAACCUGGGAACUGCGUUUGAAACUACGGAGCUAGAGUACGGCAGAGGGGGGUGGAAUUCCACGUGUAGCAGUGAAAUGCGUAGAUAUGUGGAGGAACACCGAUGGCGAAGGCAGCCCCCUGGGCCGAUACUGACGCUCAGGCACGAAAGCGUGGGGAGCAAACAGGAUUAGAUACCCUGGUAGUCCACGCCCUAAACUAUGUCAACUAGUUGUCGGGGAAGCAAUUCCUUGGUAACGAAGCUAACGCGUGAAGUUGACCGCCUGGGGAGUACGGUCGCAAGAUUA